rnacentral:lncRNA from 1 species
UGCAAGUAGCAUUAAAAUCCUCAGAGAAGGCCUUCCCCUUGUCCUCCCUUGGCAUCCCCAGGUGGACCAGAUUUUGAAGCCCCACCCAUUCUGAGCUCUGCUUCACCCUUCCAUCCUGGUGUUCAACAGUGCCAGGACACCCUAAGGGAGGAAGUAGAAUGGGGAACCACACCUCAGUGCAUGAAUCCAAUGCUGGUUGGCAUGUUCUCUUGCUUUGCAGUGUGUAAGCUAAUAACACUUCUCUGGCCGAUAUUGAGUAACCACUGGUGGAGAGAACACACCGUUUGUGAUACAUUGUGGCAGGCGGAUGCCACAGGCCACACAAAUACAAACCCCAGUGGAUGUGCUCUUGAUGACUGAGGUACUCUGGUGUUGUAGAUCAUACUCUGUAUAGUCCUGAACAGUUGGAGGCAAACAGGUUCCACUGUGGUAUCUGCAGUGGGCAUUUCAUCAGAAUGGCUCAAGAUGAAAAUGUAAACUCUGCUGGCUGAAUUCUGGCAGAAGGCCUUUGGAUGAAGCAAGAUGUCUUGGUACACAUCAUCAUCCCAGGACUUGGGUGAUGGAGGUAAAAGGAUUUCAAGUUUGAAGCUGGCCUGGUCUACAUAGCAAGAGUCUGUCUCAAGAAAUCAAAAUCAACCAGCCAAGCAUGUUUUAUAUGCCCCAAAAGGGAAAACAUCUACCAAGGUUCUGUCUUUCUUUUCCCUCUCACUUACCCCCUCGAUGUGUGUGUGUGUGUGUGUGUGUGUGUGUUU